AGUCCGUACGAGCGAGAUCCCUACUGCUAGUUGCUACUAUUAUUCUAUGAAUAGUAGGGCGAAUUAGUGGGACCGCCACAGUUAAUGUGGAGGAAGGAAGGGGCCACGGCAGGUCAGUAUGCCCCGAAACUCUGGGGCCACACGCGGGCUGCAAUGGUAGUUACAAUAGGUUCCAAAACUGAAAAGUGGAGGCAAUCCCUAAAAAGCUACCACAGUUAUGACUGAGGGCUGUAACUCGCCCUCACGAAUAUGGAAUCCCUAGUAAUUGCGUGUCAUUAUCGCGCAGUGAAUACGUCCCUGCUCCUU
rnacentral:rRNA from 1 species